rnacentral:rRNA from 1 species
GAUGAACGCUGGCGGCGUGCCUAAUACAUGCAAGUCGAGCGAACAGACGAGGAGCUUGCUCCUUUGACGUUAGCGGCGGACGGGUGAGUAACACGUGGAUAACCUACCUAUAAGACUGGGAUAACUUCGGGAAACCGGAGCUAAUACCGGAUAACAUGUUGAACCGCAUGGUUCAACAGUGAAAGACGGUCUUGCUGUCACUUAUAGAUGGAUCCGCGCCGCAUUAGCUAGUUGGUAAGGUAACGGCUUACCAAGGCAACGAUGCGUAGCCGACCUGAGAGGGUGAUCGGCCACACUGGAACUGAGACACGGUCCAGACUCCUACGGGAGGCAGCAGUAGGGAAUCUUCCGCAAUGGGCGGAAGCCUGACGGAGCAACGCCGCGUGAGUGAAGAAGGUCUUCGGAUCGUAAAACUCUGUUAUUAGGGAAGAACAAAUGUGUAAGUAACUAUGCGCGUCUUGACGGUACCUAAUCAGAAAGCCACGGCUAACUACGUG